rnacentral:rRNA from 1 species
AUACGGAGGGUGCGAGCGUUAAUCGGAAUUACUGGGCGUAAAGCGCGCGUAGGCGGAUUAGUAAGUCGGAUGUGAAAGCCCUGGGCUCAACCUGGGAAUUGCAUUCGAUACUGCUUGACUAGAGUAUGGUAGAGGGAAGUGGAAUUUCCGGUGUAGCGGUGAAAUGCGUAGAUAUCGGAAGGAACACCAGUGGCGAAGGCGACUUCCUGGGCCAAUACUGACGCUGAGGUGCGAAAGCGUGGGGAGCAAACAGGAUUAGAAACCCCAGUAGUCC